UCCAUGUGCUCUGGGAACACUGGAUCUACUCCCUCCUGCUCCUCUCCCACCAAAGAAUACAACAGAAGGAGGAUGGGAAUGGGUAGGUUCAUACUCCUAGCCCCCAGGCCCAGCAGAGCUCACAUGUAAUGAGCAAAGCUGGGUCAGACUGUGGGUACAUCCAUACUACCCGCCGGAUCGGAUCGAGCUGCCAUAUUUCACCACCCGGAUCGGCGGGUAGCGAUUGAUCUAUUGGGGAUCGAUUUAUUGCGUCUCAUCUAGAUGCGAUAAAUCAAUCCCCGAAGGUGCUCCCCGUCGACUCUGGAACUCCACCAGGGUGAGAGGCAGAAGCGGAGUCGACAAGGGAGCUGCGGCCGUCGAUCCCGUGCCGUGAGGACGGGAGGGUUGCCAACCCUCCAGGAUUGGCUUGGAGUCUCCCGGAAUCGGCAUCAGUCUCCCGGAAUGAAACCUGCCGCCAGUUAUCAGUCCACUUGGGACCACCCACUGCACCCAGACUGCACAACAGAGACCUCCUUAAGGUAUAGGUGCUCACCUAUGGAAAGCUAAUAGUCCCAAAUGAACAAAGAUUCAUGAAUAAAACACAGUACAUGGACUUUUGGAAAAGUCAAGUACCAAGUUACUGCCAAGCACCAUUAGCUCCAGUAACUAUCACUCACCUGACAGGAAAACUAAAGUCGGCUAAAAACUAAACCGGCUGCCUAUACUGAAAUGAGUUAGGGCCUUUAGGGGCUGCAGUUCACCACUGUGGCGAGAGGCUGGGCGAAGGACUGCUGGUUCCCCCGGAAGUGGGGAGACAAUGGAGCUGGGGCACAGCCGGAGGGCCAUGCCCUGAAGAGGACGCCACGGUCCGGAAGUGACACGUGUCCCCACAGACAGCAGAGAUGAUGGAGAAGCAGCGACGGAGAGUGAGACACCCCAAGAGAAGGAUGCCUUGCUGAUGGACAGACUAAUUCCUGGAGCAAACAGCAGGAGGCGCUAUGGUGGUGAGCACAACCUGUUACAAUGACAAACAGCUGUACACUAAAGGUCAGAUUGUGGCCUGAGCUGCGUGGCCAUGAAGCUAUGGGAACAAUAAUCUGCCCCUGGCCUUUACCAAUAAGUUUUGUGUCAACUGGAAUAUGAUGAGGGAGAAAGGAUGGAGGAAAGCCAAGAGUUCCCCCAUCCUUACCCAUAUGCUUAAAGGAUGGUGAAGUAGAAGGUGCACCACACCCCUUUACUCACUAGGACCCAAGCUCUUAUUCCUCCUUAUGUCCCUUCAUGGACAUGCAACUUAGGCCACAAUCUGGCCUUCAGUGUAUAAUUGUUUGUUACAAACGUGUAAAAAGAAAUAUACAAAGUUCUUGUUCAUUAGCAAUUUCAAUUAUCAGCCAGAUUGCUAAUAACCGUUGGCACAAAGGAGUAAGGGGGAAUAAGGCACCUCCCUACUCUCCUGUGUGAGCUACCUGUACCACAGAUUGCAUGAUAGGAACAGAAGCAAAGCUUCUCCCUCCUCACUCUGUGAAGGUAGGAGGACAGGGACUGUGUGAAGCUGUCUCCCAACCAACACAACAGCCAAUGCAUCUGUGCCAGUACACUGAGUGACAUAUGCUACACCAGGUAUGCACCCAGAACCAUUUACUUCCUCCCCGGACCAUUAAGGAAGCCAGGAGGCAAAAAUAUGGCUCUUUGAAUCCCAAUUUGCUUCCCUGGGCUGGUCUUAGAGCAGUGCAACAAAGCACAGCUCCUUGCCAGGGUAGAAUGUAAAGUGACAAUGUCCCCCUAUGUUUGUAAUUAAUGUUUUGUACAGAAAUUAUAUAUAGGAUAGUCAUCUAAAAAUGCUUGGCCAGAUGUACCUACACCUCUACCCUGAUAUAACGCUGUCCUCGGGAGCCAAACAAUCUUACCGCGUUAUAGGUGAAACGCGUUAUAUCGAACUUGCUUUGAUCUGCCGGAGUGUGCAGCCCCGCCCCCCGGAGUGCUGCUUUACUGCGUUAUAUCCGAAUUCGCAUUAUAUCGGGGUAGAGGUGUAUUUGCAGUUAUUUCUACUCUUGGGUUUAAAAUUUAAAUUGGCUUUUUAUAUUAGAAUUAAAUUUCCAUAACUAAAAUGGCUUCAGAUACAAGAUUCAUUGUUUUCACAAUUGUUAUUAAUAAUGAUCAGCAAAAAAAAGUAAAUGACAGAAUGUUACACAGACAAAGGGUUAGAUGAAGGUCCCACUUAACAUGAGAAAUCCCUUUCAGAGCUAAGCCCCAGAGCUCAGAAGCAGAAACAAUGGUUGAAAUCCUGGCCCCCUGGAAGUCAAUAGCAAAGCUCCCAUAGACGUCAUUAGAGCAAGCAUUUCACCCAAUAUUUAUGAAGAGCUAGCUUUUGCCACCCUGGCUCAAAAGGUCUAAUACCUUACACCACAAGUAGACCUUUAAGCAUUAAUGAGACUACUUGUGCCUGAGGUCAGUGUGAGUAAGGGUUUCGCAAUCUGGCCCAAUAGGAUAGCAGCAUCAGGCAAGAAUCCCAACACAAUUAUUUUGUCAUGAAUUUUAUGAAUGAAAUACAGAUUGGUGUAUUUUUCAGUUAUAUUUCUCUCUCUCUCUUCUCCUGCCCCUCAUAAAAUCCUUCCCUGAUGAGUCACUCAAAAAUGGUUUAAGCGGCAGAUUGAUCUCAAUCUACUCAAUUCAAUUCAAAAUGAAAGCUUGUAUUCAUUUUUUUUUUCUUUUUACUUACCAAACAAAAUACAGUUUACCUUAGAUAAAGCCACCAUCACAAAGUCAUUGUACUGUAUAACUAAGGAUAUAGCAGCAUCUGUAGACUACAGAUUUUCUACAAGAAAGUCAUGACGAUCCAUGUUCUUUUCACAUAAGUUAGUUACUUUCUAUUUUAGAAGAAUAAAAAUAAUCGUUUAAACUUUAUUAUCAUUUUAAACGGUUAUAAAAUAAGGUCAUAGCCUUCCAUGAAAUCAUCUCCUACUCACUUCAGUACAGGAUGAUAAUGCUCCUAGUAGGCAAAUUAUUCAAAGCAGGCUAGCAAAGAUAGGGUGUUCAAUAAUCAAUCCAACAGGAUGCAUAGCAUUAAUCUAACAUUGCAGAGUUUGACCUCUCCCAGGUAUAAAUUUAAGGAUCAAAUUUGACCAUCAAACAGUGUUACCUACCUACAUGGUGGCUUAUUCUGUUCCUAAUUUCAGAGUUUAUAUAGCCAGAUACUAAACACAGAAUGACUGUCAAAAUGACCCAGUCACUAUGGGGGAUGGGUACACAAGAAUAAAAUAAGAUCCACAGAAGCAAUUUGCCCUCAAUUCAAACUAAACUCAGAGUACAUUUUCUGAGAUUCAAAAACUUUAGUUAACUCUUUUGUUUUUAAUUAUGUUCACAUGCUUCCGCACUUCUGUUCCUGGAGCUAGAAGUGCCAAAAUGUCAUUUCUUUUUCUGUGAUACCUACAAAAUACUUGACAACAGUUAAGCUCUUGGUGUGCAGAGACCACAGCCUAUCAUGCUGACCAGUAUUAUCUCAUUGUUUACUUGUAUUCCCCUAUCAGUGUAUACCCACCUGUUGACUCUUGUCUGGUACCAGGGUUAGGGCAAGGACUGUCCUUUGGUUUUGUGUUUGUACAACCAGUAGUACAAUGGGGUGCUGGUCUAGAACUGGGGCUCCUAGACACCAUGAUAAAUAAAUAAUAAAAACGAGAGACUUCAGAUAGUUUAGAUAAACUUCAAUUAAGUAUGCAUGUUUUGGGGUGCUUAUCGAUGCUGAAUGUCCAAAGUUUUUGAGUUUGCCUAUUACUGCUCACACAAUUCCUUGGCAUUUGAUGGCAUCAGUUACCUGAAAAAUAGAAUUUUCUUGUGGGAUAAAGGAUCGCUCACCUUUAAUAUUGUUUACUCAUGUUUUGUAUUUAAAAUAUCAGAGUUUGAUUAAAAUAUGUUUUCUUCACGAGACAUCUCACACGAACACAUUUCCCUUACAUUGCCUAGAGCAGAAGUGCACAAACUGGAGGGCACACUCCCCGUCCCUCUCUGCGGGGGGGUGCAAAGAAACUGGGAUCCCAUGGGUCCUGCAGGACCUGCUGCCAUAAUAGCAGUAGCAGGAUAAAAACCCAAGUGGGUAUUGCAGGGCGGAGCAGGAAUGGGAUUGAAAAAAUACUCCUCCCACACUGCAAAUAUGAACGCCCUGGCCAGUAGCUGCCACGCUCCAGCUGCCCAACUCUGAAGGCAGCAGCAGCAGAGCAGAGUAAGGUUGGCAAUGCCCCGGCCAGCAGCUGCUGCUCUCUGGCUGCCCAGCUCACAAGUAAGAGAUUACUUCAGAUUACAAGGAACAGGGAGAGGGGGAAGCUUGACAAAUUCUGUAAAUGGCAAGAGGGGCACAACUGGAGAAAAGUUUGUGCAUCACUGGCCUAGAGAAUGAAAACCUCUGAAAUGGCUCAUUUUAUAGUUCAUUUGUAUCAAGUUUGCUUCAGCUGAAAAGAGCCUUUAUUUAUUGGUGGUAGAAAUCAGCUGGCAUGUUUAACUCAACUGCCUAGCUCUUCUUCAGCUCUGUGUAAUUUCACAAGCUUGUAUCUGUAACCAAUAGAAGUUGGUCCAAUAAAAGAUAUUACCUCAACCACCUUUUCUCUCUAAUAUCCUGGGACCAACACAACUAAAUCACCACUGCAUAUUUGAUCUUGAGCGAGUCAUUAACUCUCUCUGUACCUCAGCUCCUCACAAAUAAAAUGGUUAUAUCAUUUCCCUA